GGAGCAGUAUCGAAGUGGUCAUAACGGGGCUGACUCGAAAUCAGUUGAACCGUAAGGUUCCGUGGGUUCGAAUCCCACCUGCUCCGCCA
rnacentral:tRNA from 2 species